GACGUAGGGCGCAAGCGUUGUCCGGAUUUAUUGGGCGUAAAGGGCUCGUAGGCGGCCAACUAAGUCAUACGUGAAAUCCCUCGGCUUAACCGGGGAACUGCGUCUGAUACUGGAUGGCUUGAGUUCGGGAGAGGGAUGCGGAAUUCCAGGUGUAGCGGUGAAAUGCGUAGAUAUCUGGAGGAACACCGGUGGCGAAGGCGGCAUCCUGGACCGAUACUGACGCUGAGGAGCGAAAGCCAGGGGAGCAAACGGG
rnacentral:rRNA from 1 species